rnacentral:rRNA from 1 species
AUGGCCGGCCGCGCUCGAGCUACUGGGAUUCGGGGGAACAGCGGCGACGGUCCAAAGAAGCGGCAGCGAGAAGAGAUGUCGCUCAACCGGUAUGCUGCCAUGCAGGCAUACCUUUUGAUGGGCGUAACCGGCUUAGGCUACCUGGCGCUUCUGUGGUCGACGGUAGUCCUCCUCGGUGGCUUCGUCACCGCGCUGGGGAAGAAGGAUUUUUGGUGCCUAACAGCUAUUAGCAUGAUACAGGCAGCCAGGUUCUUUAACGACUGGGAAGAAAAGGUGAUGUUAAAUUUCUUUAUGCAAGUGAUGCCAAUUAUUGAGGAAAUUAUGGUCAAUGUCAUCCCAUGGAUUAUUGUUCUUUUUCCAUUGGUGUAUUUGCUGAUGUUGAUGCUCCUAGCCAUGGAGAUAAUCUACCUGUUUGGGUCUUUCAUCUGUGUCGGGGUCUCUUUGUGGCGCAUAAUACAGCGUGAUUAUGGCAACAUGGACGGGGACAGCACCAAUGCAAACCUGAUGCCAGCUAUGGACAUAUUCUACUCUCUAGUUCUCUGCCAAGGUGCACUCUUCACUUUAUGGUUAACAUCUAACAUUGUGGUUUCACCCUUUAUCACUUCACUCCAAGGAGUAUGGGAGUUCCCAGAGAAGUGGGGUAGAAGAUCAGUUUUAAACUACCUCUUUGACACCCGGUCGAAAUGCUGGCGGGACCCUAAAUCCAUCAAGGAUAGAGGAUUGCUCAAGUACGCGGUCGAUUUGCUGGACUCUGAAUCAUCGCAAGACUACCUCUCCGGAACAAGGAUGCUGGAUGUGUUCAUCAAGCACGAAGAGGAUGUAAGGCCACUUAUACUCCCCUCAAGCCAAAAAGUUCAGAAGAUGAUAGAUAUACUGAGGUGGAGAAGCAGCGACAGAGAGAUGCAAGAGCUAGUGGCCAGGAUAUUGGCGCAUCUUGCCUGUGACAUCGAUCUAACCCAGUUUCCUGGGGCAAUACGGUGCAUAUCCUCCCUACUCGGUACCACCUUGCCAUAUUGGAACAACCAACAAGCAUCCAGUAAUGAAUCACCUAAAGGUAAAAUGGAACAGCAAGGUGCAGGGGAGAGCCCCAUCGAUAACAGUGAAGUAGAUCGCUGGAAUGAGUUGAUUCUGCAAGGUCUGGCAAUUCUCGAGAGGCUGGCGUCUGACUGUCACGCCCCGAUCUGGAUCGAGGAGACCAGAGUAGCCAGAUGA